rnacentral:rRNA from 1 species
GACGAACGCUGGCGGCGUGCCUAAUACAUGCAAGUCGAACGCAGUGGGGACGGGUGAGUAACACGUGGGUAACCUCCCAUCAGAGGGGAUAACACUUGGAAACAGGUGCUAAACCGAUACUGAUGGAUGGACCCGCGGUGCUUUAGCUAGUUGGUGAGGUAACUGCUCACCAAGGCCACGAUGCAUAGCUGACUGGGAAGGGUGAUCGGCCAAACUGGGACUGAGACACGGCCCAGACUCCUACGGGAUGCAGCAGUAGGGAAUCUUCGGCAAUGGACGAAAGUCUGACCGAGCAACGCCGCGUUAGUGAAGAAGGUUUUCGGAUCGUAAAACUCUGUUGUUAGAGAAGCGGUAUCUAACCAGAAAGCCACGGCUAACUACGUGCCAGCCGCCGCGGUAAUUC